GAUUCCCCUAGUAACUGCGAGUGAAGCGGGAAAAGCUCAAAUUUAAAAUCUGGUGGUCUUUGGCCAUCCGAGUUGUAAUCUAGAGAAGUGUUACCCGCGCCGGACCGUGUAUAAGUCUCCUGGAAUGGAGCGUCAUAGAGGGUGAGAAUCCCGUCUUUGACACGGACUACCGGGGCUUUUGUGGUACGCUCUCAAAGAGUCGAGUUGUUUGGGAAUGCAGCUCAAAAUGGGUGGUAAAUUCCAUCUAAAGCUAAAUAUUGGCGAGAGACCGAUAGCGAACAAGUACCGUGAGGGAAAGAUGAAAAGAACUUUGGAAAGAGAGUUAAACAGUACGUGAAAUUGCUGAAAGGGAAACGCUUGAAGUCAGCGCGUUGGCUGGAAAUCAACCCUGCUUUUGCUGGGCGUACUUUCUAGUUGACGGGCCAGCAUCAGUUUUGACCGGUGGAAAAAGUCUAGGGGAAUGUGGCAUCUUCGGAUGUGUUAUAGCCCUUGGUCGUAUACAUCGGUUGGGACUGAGGAACUCAGCACGCCGAAGGCCGGGUCAUUGACCACGUUCGUGCUUAGGAUGCUGGCAUAAUGGCUUUAAUCGACCCGUCUUGAAACACGGACCAAGGAGUCUAACAUGCCUGCGAGUAUUUGGGUGGAAAACCCGAGUGCGUAAUGAAAGUGAUAGUUGAGAUCCCUGUCGUGGGGAGCAUCGACGCCCGGACCAGACGUUCUCUGACGGCUCCGAGGUAGAGCAUGUAUGUUGGGACCCGAAAGAUGGUGAACUAUGCCUGAAUAGGGUGAAGCCAGAGGAAACUCUGGUGGAGGCUCGUAGC
rnacentral:rRNA from 1 species